GUAAGGUAGUGGCCUACCAAGGUUAUAACGGGUAACGGGGAAUCAGGGUUCGAUUCCGGAGAGGGAGCCUGAGAAACGGCUACCACAUCCAAGGAAGGCAGCAGGCGCGCAAAUUACCCAAUCCAGACACUGGGAGGUGGUGACGAGAAAUACCGGGUCGUGCCCAAAAGGUUUCGACACUGGAAUGAGUGCAAUUUAAAAAUUUCAACGAGUAACAACUGGAGGGCAAGUCUGGUGCCAGCAGCCGCGGUAAUUCCAGCUCCAGUAGUGUAUCUUAAAGUUGCUGCGGUUAAAACGCUCGUAGUUGGACAAGAGAGUGAUCAAGUGCGGGCGGGGAGUAAGCCUACUCUGUACUGGCUAGGAUGGCUGGGUUGCAUCUACGGAUGUUAGCUUGGCUGUCUGACUGCUGGGCAGAAGUACUACUUGUCGACCAUGCUGCUUGGUUACUUGUUUGUUCGUGAGAAUAUCAUAUGGCCUUAACUGUGCUGUGUGAUGUAUCUUACGUAGUGUGCCUUGAAUAAAUCAGAGUGCUCAAAGCAAGCUUGCGCUUGAAUGUUAAUAGCAUGGAACGAAUGUUUUGUGAAAGCACAAGUAGUGAAGUAUUCGUACUAUCGCUACUUGUGCAGCACCAACUCCGAAUCGGAACAUUGGUAGCCGAAUUCGGGUGAUGAUUAAGAGGGGCAUUUGGGGGCAUUAGUAUUUGGACGCGAGAGGUGAAAUUCUUGGACCGUCCAAGGACUAACAAGUGCGAAAGCAUUUGCCAAGUAUGUUCCCUUUAAUCAAGAACGAAAGUGAGAGGUUCGAAGACGAUCAGAUACCGUCCUAGUUCUCACCGUAAACGAUGCCAACCCGGGAUCAGCUCGGAUGGUAAAUUGUGGAUCCAG
rnacentral:rRNA from 1 species